rnacentral:rRNA from 1 species
UAAUACGGAGGGUCCAAGCGUUAUCCGGAUUUAUUAGGUUUAAAGGGUCCGUAGGCGGAAAAUUAAGUCAGUGGUGAAAGCCCAUAGCUCAACUAUGGAACUGCCAUUGAUACUGAUUUUCUUGAAUAUGAUUGAAGUGGGCGGAAUAUGUCAUGUAGCGGUGAAAUGCUUAGAUAUGACAUAGAACACCGAUAGCGAAGGCAGCUCACUAAGUCAUCAUUGACGCUGAGGGACGAAAGCGUGGGGAGCGAACAGGAUUAGAUACCCUGGUAGUCCACGCCGUAAACGAUGAUUACUAGCUAUUAGCGAUAUACUGUUAGUGGCAAAGCGAAAGUGUUAAGUAAUCCACCUGGGGAGUACGAUCGCAAGGUUG